CAGCAGCCGCGGGAAUACGUAGGGUGCGAGCGUUAAUCGGAAUUACUGGGCGUAAAGCGUGCGCAGGCGGUUAUAUAAGACAGAUGUGAAAUCCCCGGGCUCAACCUGGGACCUGCAUUUGUGACUGUAUAGCUAGAGUACGGUAGAGGGGGAUGGAAUUCCGCGUGUAGCAGUGAAAUGCGUAGAUAUGCGGAGGAACACCGAUGGCGAAGGCAAUCCCCUGGACCUGUACUGACGCUCAUGCACGAAAGCGUGGGGAGCAAACAGGAUUAGAUACCCCAGUAGUCCCUGUCUCUUAUAC
rnacentral:rRNA from 1 species